rnacentral:rRNA from 1 species
UACGGAGGUCUCAAGCGUUGUUCGGAUUCAUUGGGCGUAAAGGGUGCGUAGGCGGCGCGGUAAGUCGGGUGUGAAAUCUCGGAGCUUAACUCCGAAACUGCAUUUGAUACUGGCGUGCUUGAGGACUGGAGAGGAGACUGGAAUUCACGGUGUAGCAGUGAAAUGCGUGAGAUAUCGUGAGGAAGACCAGUGGCGAAGGCGG